UCAAGAGUACGUGAAACCGUUCAGGGGUAAACCCGAAAAAUCCGAAAGUUCGAAUGUUCAGAUUCAGCCGCCAUCCGCGAUGCGACUUUUCGCGGCGCGCCUUCGAUUCGUGUCCGCACGUUUCGUCGAGUGGCGUUGCGAGGUCGUUAGCGGCGCGUGCACUUCUGGGCUAGUAGGACGUCGCGACCUGUUGGGUUUUAACAAGUCGGUCUAAGGCUCGUCCCCGGGCAGCCCGGCGGAUGCGAUUCGUCGCCAUCCGUCGGACCGCGGCGAUGUCCCGACCGACGCCCGACAGUAUGUAAAAAGGUUCUGGGCCGCCACUCGUUGGCGUUCGACCCGUCGCAAAACUGCGUGCGUCCGCUCGAAUCGGCUCUAGUAGCCGUUUCGGGCGCGUCGCGUUUUCGCGUGCGGAGCUCUCGAACAGACUCGUAACGAACCGGUCAGCGACGCUAUUGCUUCGGAUAAUUUCGGGACCCGUCUUGAAACACGGACCAAGGAGUCCAGCGUGCGCGCGAGUCAUUGGGCAUAAAACUAAACCUAAAGGCGAAAUGAAAGUGAAGGCGCGCUCUGCGCGCGCUUAGGGAAGAUGGGCUUGUUCGCGCUUGCCUCGCAUUCCCGGGGCGUCCCUUUUUCG
rnacentral:rRNA from 1 species